GGUUAAGCGACUAAGCGUACACGGUGGAUGCCCUGGCAGUCAGAGGCGAUGAAGGACGUGCUAAUCUGCGAUAAGCGUCGGUAAGGUGAUAUGAACCGUUAUAACCGGCGAUUUCCGAAUGGGGAAACCCAGUGUGAUUCGUCACACUAUCAUUAACUGAAUCCAUAGGUUAAUGAGGCGAACCGGGGGAACUGAAACAUCUAAGUACCCCGAGGAAAAGAAAUCAACCGAGAUUCCCCCAGUAGCGGCGAGCGAACGGGGAGCAGCCCAGAGCCUGAAUCAGUGUGUGUGUUAGUGGAAGCGUCUGGAAAGGCGCGCGAUACAGGGUGACAGCCCCGUACACAAAAAUGCACAUGCUGUGAGCUCGAUGAGUAGGGCGGGACACGUGGUAUCCUGUCUGAAUAUGGGGGGACCAUCCUCCAAGGCUAAAUACUCCUGACUGACCGAUAGUGAACCAGUACCGUGAGGGAAAGGCGAAAAGAACCCCGGCGAGGGGAGUGAAAAAGAACCUGAAACCGUGUACGUACAAGCAGUGGGAGCACGCUUAGGCAUGUGACCGCGUACCUUUUGUAUAAUGGGUCAGCGACUUAUAUUCUGUAGCAAGGUUAACCGAAUAGGGGAGCCGAAGGGAAACCGAGUCUUAACUGGGCGUUAAGUUGCAGGGUAUAGACCCGAAACCCGGUGAUCUAGCCAUGGGCAGGUUGAAGGUUGGGUAACACUAACUGGAGGACCGAACCGACUAAUGUUGAAAAAUUAGCGGAUGACUUGUGGCUGGGGGUGAAAGGCCAAUCAAACCGGGAGAUAGCUGGUUCUCCCCGAAAGCUAUUUAGGUAGCGCCUCGUGAACUCAUCUCCGGGGGUAGAGCACUGUUUCGGCAAGGGGGUCAUCCCGACUUACCAACCCGAUGCAAACUGCGAAUACCGGAGAAUGUUAUCACGGGAGACACACGGCGGGUGCUAACGUCCGUCGUGAAGAGGGAAACAACCCAGACCGCCAGCUAAGGUCCCAAAGUCAUGGUUAAGUGGGAAACGAUGUGGGAAGGCCCAGACAGCCAGGAUGUUGGCUUAGAAGCAGCCAUCAUUUAAAGAAAGCGUAAUAGCUCACUGGUCGAGUCGGCCUGCGCGGAAGAUGUAACGGGGCUAAACCAUGCACCGAAGCUGCGGCAGCGACGCUUAUGCGUUGUUGGGUAGGGGAGCGUUCUGUAAGCCUGUGAAGGUGUACUGUGAGGUAUGCUGGAGGUAUCAGAAGUGCGAAUGCUGACAUAAGUAACGAUAAAGCGGGUGAAAAGCCCGCUCGCCGGAAGACCAAGGGUUCCUGUCCAACGUUAAUCGGGGCAGGGUGAGUCGACCCCUAAGGCGAGGCCGAAAGGCGUAGUCGAUGGGAAACAGGUUAAUAUUCCUGUACUUGGUGUUACUGCGAAGGGGGGACGGAGAAGGCUAUGUUGGCCGGGCGACGGUUGUCCCGGUUUAAGCGUGUAGGCUGGUUUUCCAGGCAAAUCCGGAAAAUCAAGGCUGAGGCGUGAUGACGAGGCACUACGGUGCUGAAGCAACAAAUGCCCUGCUUCCAGGAAAAGCCUCUAAGCAUCAGGUAACAUCAAAUCGUACCCCAAACCGACACAGGUGGUCAGGUAGAGAAUACCAAGGCGCUUGAGAGAACUCGGGUGAAGGAACUAGGCAAAAUGGUGCCGUAACUUCGGGAGAAGGCACGCUGAUAUGUAGGUGAAGUCCCUCGCGGAUGGAGCUGAAAUCAGUCGAAGAUACCAGCUGGCUGCAACUGUUUAUUAAAAACACAGCACUGUGCAAACACGAAAGUGGACGUAUACGGUGUGACGCCUGCCCGGUGCCGGAAGGUUAAUUGAUGGGGUUAGCCGCAAGGCGAAGCUCUUGAUCGAAGCCCCGGUAAACGGCGGCCGUAACUAUAACGGUCCUAAGGUAGCGAAAUUCCUUGUCGGGUAAGUUCCGACCUGCACGAAUGGCGUAAUGAUGGCCAGGCUGUCUCCACCCGAGACUCAGUGAAAUUGAACUCGCUGUGAAGAUGCAGUGUACCCGCGGCAAGACGGAAAGACCCCGUGAACCUUUACUAUAGCUUGACACUGAACAUUGAGCCUUGAUGUGUAGGAUAGGUGGGAGGCUUUGAAGUGUGGACGCCAGUCUGCAUGGAGCCGACCUUGAAAUACCACCCUUUAAUGUUUGAUGUUCUAACGUUGACCCGUAAUCCGGGUUGCGGACAGUGUCUGGUGGGUAGUUUGACUGGGGCGGUCUCCUCCUAAAGAGUAACGGAGGAGCACGAAGGUUGGCUAAUCCUGGUCGGACAUCAGGAGGUUAGUGCAAUGGCAUAAGCCAGCUUGACUGCGAGCGUGACGGCGCGAGCAGGUGCGAAAGCAGGUCAUAGUGAUCCGGUGGUUCUGAAUGGAAGGGCCAUCGCUCAACGGAUAAAAGGUACUCCGGGGAUAACAGGCUGAUACCGCCCAAGAGUUCAUAUCGACGGCGGUGUUUGGCACCUCGAUGUCGGCUCAUCACAUCCUGGGGCUGAAGUAGGUCCCAAGGGUAUGGCUGUUCGCCAUUUAAAGUGGUACGCGAGCUGGGUUUAGAACGUCGUGAGACAGUUCGGUCCCUAUCUGCCGUGGGCGCUGGAGAACUGAGGGGGGGCUGCUCCUAGUACGAGAGGACCGGAGUGGACGCAUCACUGGUGUUCGGGUUGUCAUGCCAAUGGCACUGCCCGGUAGCUAAAUGCGGAAGAGAUAAGUGCUGAAAGCAUCUAAGCACGAAACUUGCCCCGAGAUGAGUUCUCCCUGACUCCUUGAGAGUCCUGAAGGAACGUUGAAGACGACGACGUUGAUAGGCCGGGUGUGUAAGCGCAGCGAUGCGUUGAGCUAACCGGUACUAAUGAACCGUGAGGCUUAACCUU
rnacentral:rRNA from 1 species